rnacentral:lncRNA from 1 species
AACGCUGCCAGAGCCUGUUGCUGUGGUACAUCCUGGGCCUGUGAUACUUGUGUCCUCUGUUGCUGGCUGUUCUGAAGCUCUUCUGGAUGCCCAGACCUUUUGUGAUUCAGUUGAACUCAGCAUCAGCUUGGCAAACCUUUCUGGAAACACCAAGAUAUUGUCCAGAGCUCUGUUUCCAUGGUGACUCUCAUCUAGCCAAGUUGGCCACGAGAAUGCACAACCAAGGAGCACCAACUUCCAGCUGAACUUGGGUAUCUGUCUCUCCUGGCCACUCAGAGCAUCCCUCCCCUCAGGAGACCCACUGCAUCUCCUCAGUCCCUGGUGGCCACUAGUCUGCUUUGCCUCUGCCAGAGGACAGUGGCUCCAGAGUCCACGCACGGGGGAGUUAGUGUACUUUCUUCACUUCCCUUUGGGUUCCUGGCUUACCUUGCUGAACAUGGUGCCUACCUAGCAGGCUUCUCCACAGCCAUGGAUAGGGUCUCCUUCCCUUUGGAAGCUGACAGUAUUAACACUGUGUGUACAUCGUAGGGGUUCUUCGUGACAUGGUCGAUGGCUAUGCAGUUUGAUUUUGGUUGGGAUCAGCAGGAAUUACUCUAGGACAGACAUGGGGUGUGUGCGGAGCUGUUCCAUUUGCUCUGUACCCAGAAUCGGCUUUACGGAGCGUAUGGCAGCUUCAUUUAAAGUAUUUCGAGGGAAUCUGCUUUUUCCAUUAUAUCUGCGCUGAUUUAAUUCCCACUCAACACACGUGGGUCCCCUUUCCUCACAUGCUUGCCAGCGUUUUGGUUUUGUCUUUUCUGUAGCAGGCAUUCUAACUUGGGCGACAUGAUACCGCACUGUCAUUUUGAUACACACCUUGUCCGGUGCUCAGGAUGGAGCCUAAGGGCUGACACAUGCUCCGUGGCAGCUCAAUUACUGAGCCACGCCACCAGCGUGGGCUUACAUUCUGCUGACUGACACUGAACACUUUUCGAGGUGCCACUAGCUGUUCAUGCUUUUCUUCUUUUGAGAUUUGUCUGUCGGGAUCAUUUUACCCGUGUAUUAGGCCCAUGCUGAAUGAAUAGAUUAUAAGGUGCUUUCUCCUACCCGCACUGUCCUUUCCUUUGCUAUUCCGUAUGCUAUAUAAGGUGCUUUCUCCUACCCGCACCGUCAUUUCCUUUGCUAUUCCGUAUGCUAUGUGGAGGCUUGUCUCCUUUGUCUGCUGUGGUGGUUUGAGCAAGAAUGGGCCUCAUAGGUUAAUAUAUUUCAAUGCCUAGUUAUCAGAGAGUGGUACUACUUCAAAGGAUUGGGAGCUGUGGCCUUGUUGGAGGAAGUGUGUCACUGGGAGUGGGCUUUGAAGUUUCAGAAGCCCAAGCCAGGCCCAGUGGCUCUCUCUCUUCUUGAUGCCUCUGGAUCCUGAUAUAGAACUCCCAACUUCUUCAGCACUGUGUCUGCCUGUGUGCCCCCAUGCUCCUCACAAUGAAGAGUUGCCAUGGUUAUGAUGUCUCUUAACUGGCAAUGACAUUUGCUUUUGCUGUCUGUGCCUUUGAAACAUUUCCUCUACUUGUACCACUGUCCUGGACCAUUAUCCAACCCUCCUGUGGUUUUGUUUUUGAGACUGAGACCCAUGUAGCCGAGGCUGUCCUAGAACUUGAGAGUAGUCAAGGCUAGCCUUAAAGUCCAGAACUUCCUGCCACCAUUUCCCAAGUGCUCAGAGAAGAGAUGUAAGACACUACACUUGGCUCUCUAGCUCUCUGGUGUUCUCUCUCUCUCUCUCUCUCUCUCUCUCUCUCUCUCUCUCUCUCUCUCUCAUAUUUUCUUUCUGUAGCUUCAUAAUUUUAAGUUGUGCUAUUAAGUCUAUAGGCCAUUUUGAAUUGAUUUUUGUGAAAAUUUUAUACAUGUAUAUAAUGUCUUCUUUUCAUUCACCCUUGUUGCCUUCUCUUCUCCUCUCACUCUUGAUGAAGCCCCCUUCUUCCCAGCUAGCCCCCUUUUAUUCCAUCAUGUCUUUACACACAUACAGAAUGGGGGGAGGCACAGAAGCAGAGAGACAAAGAGACAGAGAGAGACUGAUAGACACAAAUACACACAGAGUUUAAUACAGAAAGAGACAGAGACAGAGAGACAGAGAUAGAGUCAUGGAGACAGAGAAAGGGGGACAGAGAGAGAUAGAUAAAUGUAGAGACCAAGAGACAGAUAGAUGUAAAGACAGAAAGAGACAAUAAACUGAGCAGACACACAUGGAGAGAUACACACGCAUGAGAGAGAACAACAGAAUGAGGCAGAGAAUUUGGCAUUUCAUUUUAUUCUUCAGGUUGUGAAUAGUGAUGUUCCCCAACAGAGACUACACAGCUCCACUAAAUAGCCAUAACAUCUUUGUCAAAGGCCAGUUUGUGGUAUGUGUAUAGGAUUAGGUCUGAAGUUUCUGUUCUUUGCCAUAGUUCUGCAUGUUGCCUACUACGUUGCCAUUAUGAAUUGAUUAUUAUAGCUUUGUCUGUGGUACAUAUGUGUACCAUGUGUCAGCAGUGCCAUCAGAAACCAGAAGAGGGUGUUGGAUCUCCAGAUACUGGGAGUUACAGAUGCUUGUGAGCCACCCUAUGGGUGCUGGGAAUUGAACUCAGGUCCUUUGCAAGAGCAGUCAGUGCUUUUGACCUCUGAGCUAUCUCUCCAGUACUACUUUACUUUUUAAAGGCAGUAUCGUACUGGACAUGGAGUGCAUCAAUUUGGCUAGCUAAGCCCGUUGGCCAGAGGACCCCAGGGCUUCUCCUGUCUCCACUCCUGCCAGUACUGGUUACAGAGGCACAAAACUUGGCAUUUUUGUUUCUCUGGUUUUGUUUUAAUGUAAUAUUGGGGAUCUGAACUCAAGUCUUGCUGAGUGUACAGCACUCAUUUAACUGACAGAGCCAACUCUCUAGCCCCUGUUUUUCUUGUUGAGCUGGUUUUGAAAAGGUAUGUGUCUUAGGCAAGCCCAUUGUGUCUAGUAUCCAAUCACAGCAUGUAAGUGGUCUGUUCUUUCUGGGACUCACUAGGGAUCCUGUUUACGUAUCCACUUAUGUCUUUCUGCUCUGCUUUCCCCACACUUUGUCUUUUCUGUAUUUCUAAGGAUUCAUCUUGGGCUUUUGCUUCAUUUCAUGUUUGAUUUUAUUGUUGGUCCUCUCAACUCUGAGUCUCUUUCCAUCUUUGGGUGUGUCCUUUAGAGUUAGCCUCUGAUUUCUAAAGUUGGCUGCUUAGCACAUGGACUUUAUUUCUUUUUGGUGGGGAAAGGUUGUGAGACAGAGUCUCAUGGGCCCCAAGCCAUCAUCACACUCAGGAUGUAGCUGAGGAUGACCUUGAACUCCUGACCCUCCUGCUUACCCCUCCGAAGCGUCGGGAUGACAUGUGUGCACCACCACACCUGACUCAAGCCUUGCAGUUGUCUAGAAAAUAACUGUGCUCGGAACCUCGCCUCCAAAAGCCCCUUUUUCAUUGUGUCUUUCAGGUUGUGAAAAUACACAGUAUUUUCAUUAUUUCUCAGUGUUAAAAUGUAAUUAUCUAUCAUGAUUUUCUCUGAUCUAUUUUAAUUAAGAAGUAAAUUGUGAAAUUUCUAAUUGCAGGGUGGGGUUUUAAUUUAUUCUUUUCUUCAUCACUUUCUAAAAGAUUCAUUUUGUUCAGAGAAUUUCUUUGCUGUGAUAAGGAUUUUUUGAAACUGUAAGACUUGCCUUAUGGCCUAGAACUUUCCAUUUCUGUAAAUGUUCCCUGUGUACUUGAGAGAAACAUAUAUUCCUUUAUGGCUUCAUGGAAAGCAUUGGUAUGCAUUAAAUCCUGCCUCUUAGCGUUUUGUUCUCAUCCCUUCUCUGCCCUUGUUUGGCCUGACACAAAUGGAGAGUGGGUUUGAAAAUCUCUUCCUGCAGCUCUGUGACUGUAUGCUUUAUAUAUUUUAUAGCACUUUUAUAGGUUGUCUACAAGCUGAGCACUGUUGAGGAUAGUCCUUUCCUGUCCUACAUGAUGCCAUUGUUCCAAAGUCCCUCUUGCCUGUUGCUAAUGGGAUUAUCCCAGGUUUCUUCUGAUUAAUGCUCUCUGUUCUUUCAUUUUAAGAUGUUAAGGUGUCUUUCUGACUUCAAUAUGUCUCCUGUAAACUGCUGAAUUAUAAAAGUCAGAUGCUUGGCAAGUUCAAUCUACUAUUGAUUUAUUGGGGCUGGC